GACGAACGCUGGCGGCGUGCUUAACACAUGCAAGUCGAACGGAAAGGCCCCUUUGGGGGUACUCGAGUGGCGAACGGGUGAGUAACACGUGAGUAACCUGCCCUUGACUUCGGGAUAACUUCAGGAAACUGGGGCUAAUACCGGAUAGGAAUCCUUGCUGCAUGGUGGGGGUUGGAAAGCUUCGGCGGUUUUGGAUGGACUCGCGGCUUAUCAGCUUGUUGGUGGGGUAGUGGCUUACCAAGGCUUUGACGGGUAGCCGGCCUGAGAGGGCGACCGGCCACAUUGGGACUGAGAUACGGCCCAGACUCCUACAGGAGGCAGCAGUGGGGAAUAUUGCACAAUGGGCGGAAGCCUGAUGCAGCAACGCCGCGUGCGGGAUGACGGCCUUCGGGUUGUAAACCGCUUUCAGCAGGGGCGAAGCUUGUGGUGACGGUACCUGCAGAAGAAGCACCGGCUAACUACGUG
rnacentral:rRNA from 1 species